rnacentral:rRNA from 1 species
UACGGAGGAUGCAAGCGUUAUCCGGAUUUACUGGGCGUAAAGGGUGCGUAGGUGGUUUCUUAAGUCAGAGGUGAGAGGCUACGGCUCAACCGUAGUAAGCCUUUGAAACUGAGAAACUUGAGUGCAGGAGAGGAGAGUGGAAUUCCUAGUGUAGCGGUGAAAUGCGUAGAUAUUAGGAGGAACACCAGUUGCGAAGGCGGCUCUCUGGACUGUAACUGACACUGAGGCACGAAAGCGUGGGGAGCAAACAGGAUUAGAUACCCCUGUAGU